rnacentral:lncRNA from 1 species
CACCUUCUCUCUCUAUUUUCUCUCUAUAAAUUCUCUCUCUAAAAUUUUCUCUCUCUAGACCUUUUCUCUCUCUGUAGAUUUUCUCUCUUUAGAAGUUUUAUGGACUAGUGGAAGAUCUAGAUACUUAGAUAAAUUCUAAUCUUGGUUGAUCCUAAGAGAGAUCUUGGAUUUAUGUUAUUAAAAUCGUUUAUCCAAAAUUUUUUCAUAUAUGAUUUUUAUGUUUGAUCAUGGUCAUGUAGAGAUACGACUGUC